rnacentral:rRNA from 1 species
UGAUGCAGCGACGCCGCGUGAGGGAUGACGGCCUUCGGGUUGUAAACCUCUUUCAGCAGGGACGAAGCGAGAGUGACGGUACCUGCAGAAGAAGCACCGGCCAACUACGUGCCAGCAGCCGCGGUAAGACGUAGGGUGCGAGCGUUGUCCGGAUUUAUUGGGCGUAAAGAGCUCGUAGGCGGCUUGUCGCGUCGACUGUGAAAACCCGCGGCUCAACCGCGGGCUUGCAGCCGAUACGGGCAGGCUAGAGUUCGGUAGGGGAGACUGGAAUUCCUGGUGUAGCGGUGAAAUGCGCAGAUAUCAGGAGGAACACCGGUGGCGAAGGCGGGUCUCUGGGCCGAUACUGACGCUGAGGAGCGAAAGCGUGGGGAGCGAACAGGAUUAGAUACCCUGGUAGUCCACGCUGUAAACGUUGGGCGCUAGGUGUGGGGGGCCUCUCCGGUUCUCUGUGCCGCAGCUAACGCAUUAAGCGCCCCGCCUGGGGAGUACGGCCGCAAGGCUA